rnacentral:rRNA from 1 species
UACGAAGGGGGCUAGCGUUGUUCGGAUUUACUGGGCGUAAAGUGCACGUAGGCGGAUCUUUAAGUCAGGGGUGAAAUCCCAGAGCUCAACUCUGGAACUGCCUUUGAUACUGGAGAUCUUGAGUUCGAGAGAGGUGAGUGGAACUGCGAGUGUAGAGGUGAAAUUCGUAGAUAUUCGCAAGAACACCAGUGGCGAAGGCGGCUCACUGGCUCGAUACUGACGCUGAGGUGCGAAAGCGUGGGGAGCAAACAGG